CUUUAACGCAUCACCUCGUGGCGUAAGUUCUGUUUUGCAAAGUUGUUUGUGUUUUUUGUAAAGUUGUUUGUGUUUUUUGCAAAGUUGUUUGUGUUUUUUGUAAAGUUGUUUGUGUUUUUUUUGUGGUGUUUUAUGACUUUUAUUUUAAAAUGCCAAGUUGUUCUGUUCCUUUGUGUAAAAAUAAAAGCCGAUUGUUUCGUCUUCCAACAGGUGUUAGUAAUAGGUCUAGAAGAGAGAUGUGGGAGAAUUUAAUAGGCCGGGACGAUUUGAACGACAACUCCAGAAUUUGCGAAUUACAUUUUUCUGAACAACAAUUCGAAGCAAAGCGAGCAGAUGGAA